GACGAACGCUGGCGGCGUGCCUAAUACAUGCCAGUUGAGCGCUGAAGGUUGGUACUUGUACCAACUGGAUGAGCAGCGAACGGGUGAGUAACGCGUGGGGAAUCUGCCUUUGAGCGGGGGACAACAUUUGGAAACGAAUGCUAAUACCGCAUAAAAACUUUAAACACAAGUUUUAAGUUUGAAAGAUGCAAUUGCAUCACUCAAAGAUGAUCCCGCGUUGUAUUAGCUAGUUGGUGAGGUAAAGGCUCACCAAGGCGAUGAUACAUAGCCGACCUGAGAGGGUGAUCGGCCACAUUGGGACUGAGACACGGCCCAAACUCCUACGGGGGGCAGCAGUAGGGAAUCUUCGGCAAUGGACGAAAGUCUGACCGAGCAACGCCGCGUGAGUGAAGAAGGUUUUCGGAUCGUAAAACUCUGUUGGUAGAGAAGAACGUUGGUGAGAGUGGAAAGCUCAUCAAGUGACGGUAACUACCCAGAAAGGGACGGCUAACUACGUG
rnacentral:rRNA from 1 species